UGGGGAAUUUUGGACAAUGGGCGAAAGCCUGAUCCAGCAAUGCCGCGUGUGUGAAGAAGGCCUUCGGGUUGUAAAGCACUUUUGUCCGGAAAGAAAACGUCGUGGUUAAUACCCGUGGCGGCUGACGGUACCGGAAGAAUAAGCACCGGCUAACUACGUGCCAGCAGCCGCGGUAAUACGUAGGGUGCAAGCGUUAAUCGGAAUUACUGGGCGUAAAGCGUGCGCAGGCGGUCCGCUAAGACAGAUGUGAAAUCCCCGGGCUUAACCUGGGAACUGCAUUUGUGACUGGCGGGCUAGAGUAUGGCAGAGGGGGGUAGAAUUCCACGUGUAGCAGUGAAAUGCGUAGAGAUGUGGAGGAAUACCGAUGGCGAAGGCAGCCCCCUGGGCCAAUACUGACGCUCAUGCACGAAAGCGUGGGGGAGCAAAACAGGAUUAGAUACCCUGGUAGUCCACGCCCUAAACGAUGUCAACUAGUUGUCGGGUCUUCAUUGACUUGGUAACGUAGCUAACGCGUGAAGUUGACCGCCUGGGGAGUACGGUCGCAAGAUUAAAAACUCAAAGGAAUUGAC
rnacentral:rRNA from 1 species